UCCCAGGCAGGACAAUUCCCAGCCCGCCGCGCUUCAGAGCACCUCCCCUCUCCCCAGCACUUUCCUUUAAGCACUAGGAAAGGAGUCUCUCCGUUUUCUCCUUUGCUCUCUGCGUCCAGUCCACCUCCCCUAACCCACUCUCCAAACCUCAGUCCCGCGGACCACGGGCGUCUUUCUCACUCCUCCACUUAUGCACCUGCUGCUGCUACUGGGAAGGCGAACCCUGGGGUCACUAGGAAUGGGGAAGGGGCUCCUGGAGAUCCGCGCCUUCUAGAAGGGGGUCAAGGGAGACCUCUGUCCCCACGGGGGCUUCGGGGGCUGACCACUGGAUCAGGAGACCACCUCCCACCCGCCGCAGCCCCCUGCCCACUCCCUAACGCGGCCGCGCUUGCCCGCCCCCUGCCGCGGUCCCCCGGCACGAUCGGGGCGCCACGCGCAGCCCUGGCAGGACCAGGACGGGGUGCCGGGACGAGCGGGCCGGCGCGGUUACAUAACCGACCUGCUGGGCGUCCGCGAUGCGCCGGCAGAGGCAGAGGCAGAGGCGGCGGCUCGGGCGCUCCGCGGGGCCGGCGACUGCGGCCGCGGCGCUGCCUGCGCACCUGCCGGCCCGUGCGAGCGCGCGUGGGGCGGGCGCCGUGCCCGCGGGCCUGGGGGUGCGGCCGUGCGCGGGCGCCCCGCCUCCCGCUCCCCGGCUCGGCUGUCCGCGGGUCUCUGCCUCCGGCCUGCUCCUCCCCGCCACCUCCGCCGCCGUCACCCGGGACAAAGCGGCUCCGGGGAGGGGCCGAGCCGGCGUCUCUCGCAGGAGCCAGCGGAGAUGGGCGCGCCCCCAGCUUCGACUCAUCGGGCCAACCUCCAAUCAGACCCCAGGAAACCGACAGCCCCUGCCUGGCCUGCUCUCAUCUCCUCCCCCCUGACCCCGCGCCCUUCCCGGUCCCCCACCCACCCUACUUCCUGGGCUCCCACCCUGCCCUCAGCCCCACACAUCCUCCUCUCCCCUCGGGGUGCCCAGGAGGGGGUGAAGGGCCCCUGGGGACCCAGCGCCGGAGCCUGUCCGCAGGAGUCCCGGCCUCAGCGGGGAGGCGCUUCCUAGGGUUACAGCCGGGGUGGGGGCCUCCCUGGAGAUCAGGGUGGGGAGGGGCUGAUUCUGAAGCUAAGGGUGACUGGGCGGCGACAGCCAAGAAACUGGCGGAGAAGCAAACUGUGGGUAGGGAGUACUGGAAGAGAGACUCUUCUUACUCGAUGACUGACCCCUCCCCACGCUGGCUAACUGAGGAAAGGUCGGGAAGCCCCUAG
rnacentral:lncRNA from 1 species